CCAAUUAUUUGAGUCGAGGCUCGAUCCACCACUUAGCCCUAAUUGUAACUUACCUUGUUUGGACACUACCCUUGGCAUAUAUUCCUCACAUCUCUCGGCCUCCAUUUUAGAGUGAAAUCCCCUCUUUGUGAGUCUCUCCCUCUCGGCCGUUCCCUCCUCCCUCUCUGUGACCUUUGUGGUUGACAUAUUGUGGGUAUUUUCUUGGCCUUCUCCUUCCUAUAUCCAUAGCAACCGGACCUUGGUGGCACAAGGUGAUAUUGGAGUUGUCUCAAGAAUGGUGUCGGCGUUUUGAGUAAACUGAGCCCGGUUUUU
rnacentral:lncRNA from 1 species